rnacentral:sRNA from 1 species
UGAGGGCAAUCUGGCUGCGACAUAUGUCACCCUAUUGAUCGCCAGGGUUCAUUCAGCUGAUCUGGCUGGCUAGGCAGGUGUCCCUUUUCUCCCUCA